rnacentral:rRNA from 1 species
CUACGGGGGGCACCAGUGGGGAAUAUUGCACAAUGGAGGAAACUCUGAUGCAGCAACGCCGCGUGGAGGAUGACGCAUUUCGGUGUGUAAACUCCUUUUAUAUGUCAAGAAAAUGACGGUAGCAUAUGAAUAAGCACCGGCUAACUCCGUGCCAGCAGCCGCGGUAAUACGGAGGGUGCAAGCGUUACUCAGAAUCACUGGGCGUAAAGGACGCGUAGGCGGGAUAUCAAGUCAGGUGUGAAAUCCUACAGCUUAACUGUAGAACUGCACUUGAAACUGGUAACCUAGAGUAUGGGAGGGGGAGAUGGAAUUAGUGGUGUAGGGGUAAAAUCCGUAGAUAUCACUAGGAAUACCUAAAGCGAAGGCGAUCUCCUGGAACAUAACUGACGCUAAGGCGUGAAAGCGUGGGGAGCAAACAGGAUUAGAUACCCCUGUAGUC